AUUGAACGCUGGCGGAAUGCUUUACACAUGCAAGUCGAACGGCAGCACGGGGGCAACCCUGGUGGCGAGUGGCGAACGGGUGAGUAAUACAUCGGAACGUGCCCAAUCGUGGGGGAUAACGUAGCGAAAGCUACGCUAAUACCGCAUACGAUCUACGGAUGAAAGCGGGGGAUCGCAAGACCUCGCGCGAAUGGAGCGGCCGAUGGCAGAUUAGGUAGUUGGUGGGGUAAAGGCUCACCAAGCCGACGAUCUGUAGCUGGUCUGAGAGGACGACCAGCCACACUGGGACUGAGACACGGCCCAGACUCCUACGGGAGGCAGCAGUGGGGAAUUUUGGACAAUGGGCGCAAGCCUGAUCCAGCCAUUCCGCGUGCAGGAUGAAGGCCUUCGGUUGU
rnacentral:rRNA from 1 species